rnacentral:lncRNA from 1 species
AGACUGCGAGCGGAGAAGCGGAGUUUGCAGCCUCGGAAUUGGCUAGAGCGCCAGAGCCGAGUCAGCCAUAAAGCUACGCGCUAGGCUCUUGGCCCUGACGUGAGGCGCGCAGAGAUGGCGUAACGGGAAUAGUUUUCAACGUCUAUUUCAUUCCCUGCUUCAGAGGACCUCUUUAAUCUUUGAUUUUGGUCCCUGUUUCUAAGAAAAGCAACUGAAAAGGUCGUAAUACCGCCCCUGAGAAAAAAGGAGCAGCGCUAAAUAAUCGAGAAAAUGCCUCCUCUUGAAACGGAUAUAGAGAUGGAAACAAGAUAUAAGAAGGAUUGAGAAUCAUAUAAUACAGGAGCUUAAACACCUAUGCGCGAUGAUAAAGAGGGUACUAUUAGAGCGCUUGGAAAAUACCAGGAAGUUGAGAGAGUUAACAGAAGGGCGCACGCUGGAUUGGCCACAAAAUCGAAUUACUGAAGUAAGUGCAAAACGACAAAUUGUCACAGAAUACAGAGAAAAGGGGAAAAGAAAUUAAGAGGAGAAAAAGAGAGAUCUAGAGGGCCGGUCCAGGAGAUACAAUCUAUGCAUAAUAGGAAUACCUGAAACUGAGGACAGAGCAAGUGGAGCUGAAACAAUAAAGGAUCUACUUGAAAAAAUUUUCCAGAAUUGAAGAACGAACUAGAUCUACAAAUGGAAAAGGCUCAUAGGAUACCUUUAAAGUUUAAUGAAAAGAAAGCAGCAUCUAGACAUAUCCGGGUGACGUUUUUGAAUUUCAAAGACGAAACAUUUUACAAGCAUCCAGUCAGAGAAAGCAGGUUACUUACAAAGGGGCAAAAGUCAGGCUGACCUCAGAUUUUUCUCCUGCAAUUCUAAAUGCCAGAAGACAGUGGAACAAUAUCUAGAGUGUUAAGGGAAAAUAAUUUUGAGCCAAGAAUUAUAUACUCUGCCAAGUUAUCAUUUCUUUACAAAGGAAACUGGAAGACAUUCUUAGAUAUACAGGGGUUAGGAAAGUAUAUCAACCAAGAACUUUCCCUGAAAAUUUUGCUGAAGGAUUUACUGCAGCUAACAGAGAACCUGAAUUAAAAUAAGAAUAGGGAGGCAAUUGUAUGAAAGAACUGAUGGUAUGCAUUAAAACUAGUUAAGGAGCAUUAAGUUUAAAUUGUUAUGUAUAGGGCAUUAAAACUAAAUACAAAAAUAGAAACAUAAGCUGGGUGUAAAAUUUCAGUUUACGUUUAAACUGGAAGGGCAUACCACAUGUUCAAUAUAUUGGACAAAUACUGUUUUAUUUUUAGCAUGUAGUAUUGUAGAUACAAAUACGCAUGUUCUUAAGCUAAACCUAAGUAAAAGGGCUUUGUCACUGUAGAUUUGACAAAUAACAUUCUAAAUGUCAAAUCUGACAAUUGGAAAACAGUACAGUUUUAUUUCCCUUAUUUUUAAGUAUAGCAGGAAAAAAAUAACAAGUUUGUCCAUGUUACUACUGAUACUGUAAAGAAACUUCCAAAUCACUGGUUUGGGAGGGGGUGGAUACAUCCUCAUUUUCUGUACAUGAUGCAUGGGGAAAAACAGUAGUUACUGCAUCAUAUAGUUCCAAGUAAAUCAUAUAGUUCCAAGUAAAUUUGACAUGGAAAUAAGUGUUAACUACAAAAAUAGAAUAUAUACAUUCCAAUGUUUGGAAAAGAAGUGGUAAAAAGAAAAAUAGCAAAAAGACACUAAAAUUAGCAAAAAGUAGAUUGACAGUACAGAUGACCUAUAAACUGGUUAAAUAGCCCUAUUACAAUUGAAAUUGGGUCAAAAAUCAAUCUCUAACCUGAGAUACAUUUGUAUAAAACAAAUGAUCAAAGAGUUUAAAGAUAAUGGAAACUAUAAAUCAUAGAAAUGGCAACAUUUUUCUUAAAAUCUAAACAUAAGACAUUUUAUGUAAAACAUACAAUAUAGGAUGUAACAUUUAACAAACUAUAUGGUAAAUAAUAUGACAUUAAUAUAUAAAAUAUAUGUUCCAGA